rnacentral:rRNA from 1 species
AGCUCAGGACGAACGCUGGCGGCGUGCCUAAUACAUGCAAGUCGAGCGGACAGAAGGGAGCUUGCUCCCGGAUGUUAGCGGCGGACGGGUGAGUAACACGUGGGUAACCUGCCUGUAAGACUGGGAUAACUCCGGGAAACCGGAGCUAAUACCGGAUAGUUCCUUGAACCGCAUGGUUCAAGGAUGAAAGACGGUUUCGGCUGUCACUUACAGAUGGACCCGCGGCGCAUUAGCUAGUUGGUGAGGUAACGGCUCACCAAGGCGACGAUGCGUAGCCGACCUGAGAGGGUGAUCGGCCACACUGGGACUGAGACACGGCCCAGACUCCUACGGGAGGCAGCAGUAGGGAAUCUUCCGCAAUGGACGAAAGUCUGACGGAGCAACGCCGCGUGAGUGAUGAAGGUUUUCGGAUCGUAAAGCUCUGUUGUUAGGGAAGAACAAGUGCAAGAGUAACUGCUUGCACCUUGACGGUACCUAACCAGAAAGCCACGGCUAACUACGUGCCAGCAGCCGCGGUAAUACGUAGGUGGCAAGCGUUGUCCGGAAUUAUUGGGCGUAAAGGGCUCGCAGGCGGUUUCUUAAGUCUGAUGUGAAAGCCCCCGGCUCAACCGGGGAGGGUCAUUGGAAACUGGGAAACUGAGGCAGAAGAUUGAGUGCAGAAGAGGAGAGUGGAAUUCCACGUGUAGCGGUGAAAUGCGUAGAGAUGUGGAGGAACACCAGUGGCGAAGGCGACUCUCUGGUCUGUAACUGACGCUGAGGAGCGAAAGCGUGGGGAGCGAACAGGAUUAGAUACCCUGGUAGUCCACGCCGUAAACGAUGAGUGCUAAGUGUUAGGGGGUUUCCGCCCCUUAGUGCUGCAGCUAACGCAUUAAGCACUCCGCCUGGGGAGUACGGUCGCAAGACUGAAACUCAAAGGAAUUGACGGGGGCCCGCACAAGCGGUGGAGCAUGUGGUUUAAUUCGAAGCAACGCGAAGAACCUUACCAGGUCUUGACAUCCUCUGACAACCCUAGAGAUAGGGCUUUCCCUUCGGGGACAGAGUGACAGGUGGUGCAUGGUUGUCGUCAGCUCGUGUCGUGAGAUGUUGGGUUA